AGGACGAACGCUGGCGGCGUGCUUAACACAUGCAAGUCGAGCGGAAAGGCCCUUCGGGGUACUCGAGCGGCGAACGGGUGAGUAACACGUGAGCAACCUGCCCCUGGCUCUGGGAUAGCCUCCGGAAACGGGGAUUAAUACCGGACAUGACCCUUGACCGCAUGGUUGGGGGUGGAAAGUUUUUUCGGCCAGGGUGGGGCUCGCGGCCUAUCAGCUUGUUGGGGGGGUGACGGCCCACCAAGGCGACGACGGGUAGCC
rnacentral:rRNA from 1 species